AUUGGUAGAGGCGCGAGUCUUAUGACAAGCCGACGACGCGGACUACGUCGCGGUGGCAAAGGAAAACUCGCCGAAAGGUAUUUCGUUCGGUCCGGAACGGUUUAUCUUGGGACAACGCAGAAUAUGCGUUGUACUGUCACCGCAAGGUGGAGCGCUAUCG
rnacentral:ncRNA from 1 species